rnacentral:rRNA from 1 species
UACAUGGGGUGCAAACGUUGCUCGGAAUUAUUGGGCGUAAAGCGCGCGUAGGCGGUUACUCAAGUCGGAUGUGAAAGCCCUCGGCUUAACUGAGGAAGUGCACCCGAAACUGAGUAGCUAGAGUACUAAAGAGGGUCGCGGAAUUCCCGGUGUAGAGGUGAAAUUCGUAGAUAUCGGGAGGAACACCGGUGGCGAAGGCGGCGACCUGGGUAGAUACUGACGCUGAGGCGCGAAAGCGUGGGGUGCAAACAGG